UUGAGGUGUUACCAGAAUUUGC
rnacentral:siRNA from 1 species